UGAGGAAUAUUGGGUCAAUGGACGCAAGUCUGAACCAGCCAAGUAGCGUGCAGGAUGACGGCCCUAUGGGUUGUAAACUGCUUUUAUGCGGGGAUAAAGUGUGGGACGUGUCCCAUAUUGCAGGUACCGCAUGAAUAAGGACCGGCUAAUUCCGUGCCAGCAGCCGCGGUAAUACGGAAGGUCCUGGUGUUAUCCGGAUUUAUUGGGUUUAAAGGGAGCGUAGGCUGUUGCUUAAGCGUGUUGUGAAAUGCCGCGGCUCAACCGUGGCACUGCAGCGCGAACUGGGCGGCUUGAGUUACCGGUAGGCAGGCGGAAUUCGUGGUGUAGCGGUGAAAUGCUUAGAUAUCACGAA
rnacentral:rRNA from 1 species